GCCAGGAUGAAGUCGUAGAUCAGGGCGGCACUUGCACCUCCCAGCAUUGGACCCACCCAGAAGAUCUGAAAUACAACAUCAAACUCAGGAACAUGGGGUUCUGAUGGUAAAUUAUUCCACUGGUCCCACAUAUCUGCUAUCCCACAUCUAGCACCAUCUACCACACACCUGACCAAGGUGCUUGUCCUGCAAUUGGACCUGCAUGGGAUUUCUACAGGAUCGGAGCCCAGGUGCUGUAUAAGAACAAAGAACGACCAUUCAAAAUACAAGUUUGAAGGAUACCAGCUCUAAGAAGAGAGAGGAAAUGUUUCGUGUUGGAAACGGAGUAUCACUGCUUGUAGAGAACCUAGCACAACAGGGUUCUGCUCCUUGACUCAGGCUCCUAGGGUAUGUCUACACUGCCCACUAAGCCUGGGCUCUGACUCCGGUUUAAGCCCAAGCCCGUCUUCUGUCCAGAAACUGAGUAGGUUCAGCAAACAUUCAGGAAGGUCCUCUUGAUUUUGUUAUAGAAUGAUAUCCAGGGGAAAGGACAGUAUCACUCAGACACAGCACAUCUACCUCUUCCAAAGAUAAUCUUCAUCUAUCAGGAGCUUCGCAAUUGCCCAUUUACCCAACGGCAUGGUUAAAAACCCUGAGCUUCGUUACUUGAGCGUUAAUUAUUAAGCGUUGCUCAAGGACAACACACUGCUCCCUUUCUGGGAUGAUUAUUAUCUAUAUAACCCUGGCAACCAUUCAUUGACUCCAUGGCCGUGUAGAAGAGUGUGGUCUAUAAGUAAAUCUUUCUUGGCGUUUGCAUGCAGAACUGCAGGUAGUUCUACCACAGCGCACUCCUGAUUUAAAGUAGAUAAUGUCCAGAAACAGCUUUUAUUUUUGCCGGUCUGUUUAAUGCACACUUGGAAUUACAUCACCCACUGUUCAGUUCACAAGACCCAUCUCAAGCCUUGGUAAAGACAAGCAGGUGAUGUAAUCUGAUGGGAUGGUUCAACAGCCUGCAAGAUUCAAAGGUACAUUUGUUGUUCAAACAGUGAUCACUAGAGCUGCUCAUGGAGUGAGCAGAAUUCUUUCUCUGUGCAGUUGUGGGAAACAUAUGGCAACCACAUUGCAAAUAGCUCUUACAGGUGACAAAAUGCUUCGCUCUUUGAUUUGUCCAUGAGUGGAGGUAUUCAAGCUACCUUCUUGCUGUUGCUCUUCAUGGACAUAUUUAGCUGACCCAUUUCCACCACUUUGAGCAGGAGUGUGGGCAAUUAAUAGCAUGUUUUCUUUCCUUUUGUUUUAUCAGAGCAGGACAUUUCUUAGUAAUCUGACUUCAAAACAGAAACAGGGAACAGGAAAUUAAACUGGCCCAAGGUGAACAUGACUAUGUACUUUUCUGAGGGCUUCAUAUUUUUUGUAUUAGGGACAAAAGUACAUCAAGUCAAAACAUGGUUCCAAUUAUAUGGACAAGAGAAUAGAAAGGACAUUAUUAUUUGUUACCCAAGGUGGUUUUAUCACGUGGAACUAUGUGCCAUAUCAUCCAGCACCCUUCUAGCUAUGUAGCAUACAUUCCAGGGUUCAAUUCACUUUUAUAUAACAGGGAAUUGGUCAGUUUCUCAUCAUUCCUUUAAAAUAUGGAACUUUUUGCAAAUGAGUACAUCAACCUUGCAUAGGGGACAUAGUGAUCUUUGUAUCUUCCGAACACUUCUCUACAUGCCAUACUGAUAUGUUUUCUCCUAGCAUGAAAAUUAAGCAAUAUGGAAUGUAGAAUUUCCUUGACAAAAACCUCCAGAGUUACUUUUAGUGAAUUCAAUUCUAGAAAUUACAGGUGGAAAAGACUUGUUAGGUCUUCCCUUUAGGAGUACUGGAAUGUUCCCUAUAGUAUGGCUUAUCUAGUCUGGUUUUAAGGAAUGGGAUUUUCAUCACUUCUCUUGGGAAUCUGUUGCAUAGUUUCACAGAGUUUAAUGCUCAAAAGCGCCAUUAGAUCAUGCAGUCUGACCUCCUGUGUUUAACAGGUAAUUAAUUUUUAUCUAUAUACCCCUAUAUUAUGCCCAAAGAUUUUAGUUGGGCCAAAGCAUUAUAGUCCUAGGAGACUAAUCUGUGUGCUGCAAUUUACUUUCCUGUUCUCCCUGCUAGCUAGUCCCCUUAGACCAUCCUAAAUAAUUAUUCUCCCUUCUUCCACUAACAGCUAAUGCAUAUUUAUGCAUUAACCCUGAAGAACCCCACAUACGGCAUAGCUUGCAAAAUAACUAUAUAGGACUGUGAGAGUUAAAAGAUUCUUCCACUGUGCUGGGCUCACUGAAAUCCUUAAUUCCCCCAAACUUUCUUUUAAUAUGUUUAGAGUGUAAAUGCAGUGUGCACAGAACCUAGCAUCUGUGGGGCAUUACUGUAAUACAGAUAAUAUAAUCAAUAAUAAUAAUAAUUAAUAAUAAUAAUUAAUAAUUUGUAUCUUUUUCCUACAGUGAACUCAUUCUUUAGUAUGUAACAUACAAGAAGCUUCUAAUAACUACCACUAGACAUCCCCAUAUUUCCCACCAUAGACAUUAGCUCACCCAGUCCAUCUCCCUCCCAGUGCAGGUCUGUUCCCUAAAGAACAUUUCCUGCUGCUUUCCCCAGCCGAGUUUGAAGUAUCCUAAGUGAUGCAGCUCUCCCCACUUCUUUCAGGAGGUUGUUUCACAGACAUGCACUCUCUGAAAGUGUUCCUUACUAUUUAACUUAAACACUCCCCUGCUUAAUCUUACCAUGUUCUUUCUAAUGAUAAUUCGUUGUACGACCUGAAAUGAUUAAUCGCCUUCUUUUCUAUUCAUACUCUACAAAUAUCAAUACUCUGUUAUCAUAGCCAUUAGUCAUUAUCUAGCCAACCUACAGAGAUUCAUAUUAAACUCUAUGAAUCUCAUCUCAUAAAUCAAUAUCUGCAGUCCACCCACACAACCACUUUGUUCUACUCCACAGUCCCUCAGUUAUUCUGUUGGUACAGGACACCUUUCCUCAGACUGGCUCAUCUGUUGUCUCCAUUAACUCAGGUAACUAUGUCCCGACCACCACAAUUCAUGGUCCUGUUCCAAUUGGAUAUGAGCAACUUCACUUCCUGUCCUAGCCUGUACUUAGGGGUUUUAUGCACCGUAGAACUAUGGCAGCAUUUAAUCCCAGUGAUGGUGGCAAUUCAAUGGGGGACCAAAACAAUCACUCUAUGUCACGUGGGUAUUUUUAAGGGACUUUGAGAUACUGUAGGAUCACAGCACUGAAGUCAAUGGGACUGCUCACACGACUGAAGUUAGUAAAAGCUGUUAUCCAGCACUUUACAAACCGGAAAGCUCUAUAAACCGGCAUUUCUCAUCUUCACGGAAAGCCCGAUUUAUAGUUCAGUUGGUGUGGGGCCAGCAGGCUUCCAACCUGGCUCUGCUUGGCUCCCCAGAAGUGGCAACAUGUCCCUCCUGCUGCUAGGCGGAGGAACGGUCACAAGGGGUUCAGAGUGCGGGAGGGAGUGCAGG